rnacentral:misc_RNA from 1 species
GAUGAAGAACGUAGCGAAAUGCGAUAAGUAAUGUGAAUUGCAGAAUUCAGUGAAUCAUCGAAUCUUUGAACGCACCUUGCGCCUCUUGGUAUUCCGAGAGGCAUGCCUGUUUGAGUGUCAUUAAAUUCUCAACCUCAAAAGCUUUUUUUGUUUCUGAGGCUUGGAUGUGGAGGCUUUUGCUGGCUUGCUAGAGUUAGCUCCUCUUAAAUACAUUAGUGGAAAACCUGUUUGUGGUCCAAAUUGGUGUGAUAAUUAUCAGCGCUAUUGUGACUACAAGCUCUUGCAGUGUUCGAUUGGAGAGUGCAUUCGUGCUCUUUCUGCUUUGUUUGACUUGCAUGAGUAAUGGAAUCUGCUUCAAACUGUCCUAAAUACUGGACAAUACUUGACUAUUUUGACCUCAAAUCAGGUAGGACUACCCGCUGAACUUAAGCAUAUCAAUAAGCGGAGGA